rnacentral:rRNA from 1 species
UACGAAGGGGGCUAGCGUUGCUCGGAAUUACUGGGCGUAAAGCGCACGUAGGCGGCUUUCUAAGUCGGGGGUGAAAUCCUGGAGCUCAACUCCAGAACUGCCUUCGAAAUUGGAGAGCUCGAGUCCGGGAGAGGUGAGUGGAACUGCGAGUGUAGAGGUGAAAUUCGUAGAUAUUCGCAAGAACACCAGUGGCGAAGGCGGCUCACUGGCCCGGUACUGACGCUGAGGUGCGAAAGCGUGGGGAGCAAACAGG